CUACGGGCGGCAGCAGUGGGGAAUAUUGCACAAUGGGCGCAAGCCUGAUGCAGCCAUGCCGCGUGUAUGAAGAAGGCCUUCGGGUUGUAAAGUACUUUCAGCGGGGAGGAAGGGAGUAAAGUUAAUACCUUUGCUCAUUGACGUUACCCGCAGAAGAAGCACCGGCUAACUCCGUGCCAGCAGCCGCGGUAAUACGGAGGGUGCAAGCGUUAAUCGGAAUUACUGGGCGUAAAGCGCACGCAGGCGGUUUGUUAAGUCAGAUGUGAAAUCCCCGGGCUCAACCUGGGAACUGACUGCGACUGGCAAGCUUGAGUCUCGUAGAGGGGGGUAGAAUUCCAGGUGUAGCGGUGAAAUGCGUAGAGAUCUGGAGGAAUACCGGUGGCGAAGGCGGCCCCCUGGACGAAGACUGACGCUCAGGUGCGAAAGCGUGGGGAGCAAACAGGAUUAGAUACCCGAGUAGUC
rnacentral:rRNA from 1 species